UUUCAAAAAUCCAAGUAGUUUUUUGUUUUCAGAAAAAGCAUCUAAAGUAACCUUAAACAUAUAAAAAAAAGAAAGUUUAUUGUACGUUGUCGGCUUUUCGACGGAAGUAAUCUCCAAAUGUUGGCAGACGAUGAGUAAAAAAAUAAAAAGAAUUUCAUAUGCUCAAAUUAAAAAUUUGCUGCUUAUAUGCAUACAAUUUUUUAGCAAAUUUAUACGUAUUGCUGCUGGAAAACAGUUACAGUAGUUUGGAUUUAUAAUAUCUAUGACAUCAUCUAUUUGGAAUUAAUCUAUUGUUUUGAGAAAAUUGUGAUUUAUUAACACUGAGCAGCCCAGUGAACGCAAUAAAUAAAGGCACAGGAAACAUUCAGGAAACAUUGCAGCGUUAUCAUCUGACGGUUGCAAAGAUUGGAUAAACAUAAGAAAAAUACUUGUAUCCCAUAAAGAAUCUAAUGACAAUAAGAAAGUCUUGAUGAUCUUCCUCACACAAAAAUCGAAUAAUCGAGCACAAUAAAGUUAAAAGAACAGACUAAAACUGCAAACAUUGCUAUAAUAUUUUAGAGCGGGUAGUAGCAGCAAUAAAAUUUUUAUCUGAAUGCGGACAUGACGAAAACUGGGGCUCUUCACACAAUGGAAAUUUUAUGGGCCUUACGGAACUGAUUUCAGAAUUCAAUUCUUUUUUAAAAUAACGUUUAAAAAAGCUGGGCUAAAAUAAUAUACAAUCUAACUCAUCUAAGUGAAAUCUAUUACUUACUUAACUGUAUAUGAAAUGUGCAGCUCAUGCGAAAAAUUUUUUAAAACGAAUUAUUGAGCAGAUAAUUGAUGUCGAUGUCAAUGAUGAGCAGAUAAACGAUACAAAAUACUAUACACUUAUUGUAGAUUCCAUUGCUCAUACAGCUGGCAAUAAUAUUAAGUUACUGUUGCUGGCAAUAAUAUUAAGAUAACGGAAAAAUAUUUGAACAGUUUACAACCUUUCGUUUGUGCGUUGUAAUGGAAAUAACAUUAUAUUUUGGAACUAUUCAACACAUUUACACUUAUUUCUUUGCAUCCUCACACCGUUGGAAAAUUUUGAGUGAAAAAGCGUCACUGACAUUUUCAAUAAAAAAUUUAAACACCAUUAGAUUUUUUAUGCGGUUUAUGCGGUUAAGUUAGCUAUCAAAACUAGCUAUCAAAUAAUAGCUAUCAAAAGUUAGCUAUCAAAUUCUAGUCAGUUUAUUCGGUUAAAGUUAGCUAUCAUAAAACACUCGAUACCCUUAAAUAUAUAUUUGAUGAAAGUUCUGAAAAAGCAGACUGUAAAUUUGAGGCAAAAGGUUUAUAUAAAAGAUUUAAAAAGCGGGAAACAGCAGUUUUUUUAAUUAUUUAAUAAAUUUAACAAAACACUACAAACACCUGGUUUAGAUAUAUGUGAAAGACAUAUGGCGUAUUCCAUUCACUGAAGUUAUAUAUAAAAUCUUUACGUAAAGAUUCCAAGCUGAAAAAAAAAGACUUUGAGAACAAAUUAGCCAAAAUGAGUCCACAGGUCAAAAAAAUUUUUAGUGAUAU